CUCUUCCAUGUACUAACAAACCACCUCUGAUGGAGACCCCACAGCAAAGGAACCAAGAGCAGCAAUUCCAUAUCCUGUCCCAUAUGAAGGGCAUGAUUUCUACCAAAGAGUGCAGGGCUGGCAUAUUUCUGUCAGACUUCUUAUACAUUUCUCUCAUUUGGAUGUAGCGUGGCAAACAAGAAAGGCUUAUAUGCCAGAAGCUUGCGCAGAUGUUCCCAUGGCUUACAGGAAAGAAGAGAAUAACCCAGUGUCAGCUAAAGAAGGAUCCCUGCACAAGUUUACUUCCAGGGUGGCUGGGUGGUCAGAGACCUUCACUGAACUGACAGAUUCUGAAGUGUCCCUGAUGGCUGAAUGCCUGAAGACUCUGGAAGGAAACCCUGGGAUAAGGAAACCCUUACUGUCAUCAUCUGCCCAAAAUGUGACAGAAGGAGCCAGCGCUUGAGGACAUCUCCUGGAGUCCAUUUGGCAUCACAGGAUAGGAGAUCCUUCUAUUGGACAUACAGUGAUCUGUCACAAUAUGGAGCAGCUGUCUAUGGACUUCACUGUGUCAAAGACACGCCCAGUGACCCCUGUUCAAUUCAUGGAGGACCAUUGGAAGAACUUUCUCUGCUACAGGCAAACAUUCGGCACUUUUCAUUUGCAAAUAUCAAGGUUUGGGAUUCAUUGCUGAACUCUGCCCCAAACGCUGGCCAUGGGCCCACUGGCUCCAAACCAGUUCUCUACAUAGAAGGGUAUGCUCCUGGCUCCUUCACAGUGAAGAACUCUGUUUGGAUUGCCUGCAUCCACCAUUAAAACUUGGGUUCACCAGACAGCACCAGCAACCCCAGCACCUCUGGUCACUUUUUCCUUUGUGGCAAUUUUUCGUUCGAUACCGAUUGUGAAAUCUGAAUUUCCAGGAAAUCUUGUUCAUCUUAAAUGAGGAAUUAACAAUAGUGUGUAAGAACUUUCUCAGAAAACAGACUUUGAUAUGUUUUUAAUUUGUAUUUUGCUAAAUUCACAUAAAACAGUGUAUUAAGUUUCAUAUGAGUUAGCAAUAAUCAUACGAUGUUUCUCCUUUGUAAGAGUUUUCAUUUAGAGUGGUCAAUCUUGUUGAGGGGAAGAAAACUUUGAAGUAGUCAUAAGAAGUAGUAAUUGAAAAUACCUUUAAAAUUUAGGGGGCAGUGAUAAAACUGAGUUUAAUCUAAAAAGAAUCUCAUAUGUUUGCCUCAAAUGAAGCUUGAACUCCAUGUGGAUGAAUUUGAAUCGUUCAUUUAGGCAGUAUGGUUUAAAAGCUGCUAGAGAGAUGCAGCUGUAGGUGAUUGAUAGAUAAUUGUAAUUAUAAACAGGUCUGUCACCUCUGUAGUCACUCAUUUUGGAAUGGAUUUGGUCUAGUUCAAAAUGAAUUUUGUAUUUUCUUCUCACAUAGAUGUUUAGAGCCGGAUCAUUAUCAAAAGCUAAAACUUUGGUUUAGAACUUUAACUUCAAAGGUGACUUCCAUGACAAGAAUGUGCAAGAUGCACUAUUAGAGUAAUUGGAAUAUUUCCAAAGGCAGUAAUCUUUUUAUCUUGCAGAGAGUGGAAUGGGAUUCUGUGUCAAUAUUGAUGGAAUAUUGGUAAGUUUGUUUCAAUCAUUGUGAGGUUCCUUGUGCUAUAAGAACAGUUCCUCUUUCAAAACUAUAUAGAAAGUGUAAGGAUCACAGUUUACUCUUAUCUGAGGAUGUUAGGAUGCUGUGUUUCAUUUUGCUGUUUAAUUGCCUUUGGGCACAUACACUGCAUUGGAAAAUGCUACUGUAGAUAUCAUUUGUGUUCCUCUUCUACUGCUGGGUCUGAGUUACAAUAAAAUGUAAGCGGCAACUUUUGGAUUUGAGGGAUUGGAUUUACUUCUUCUCUAUAGUUACUUGUGUAACAGUAUAGAAUGAUUGUUAAAUGUAACAGUUUUAACUCUGUACAUACAGAGAAUCAGUAAGUGGGAGUAUUAGCAGGUAUUGGUAGAGAACUGAAGGAAUAGACAAAACUUAGUGUGAGUAGAGUCUGUAACAAUUUCCACUGCCUGACACUUGGUCCUAGGAACUAAAGAUCAAAAAAACUACCUGGAAUUAAAGGCUCGUGCUUAAGAGUCAGGAAGAGGCAGGAGAUUGGUCACUUUUUAGAUGGAUAUUAGCACACUUUAGCUAUGGGUAACAGGCAGACAGUAGUAUUAACAUCCAGUAUUGAAGAUCCUGUGAUGUGGUUAAAUAUUGCUCGGGUUUUUUCUUUGAGCUCAGGUUUGCUUAUCUACCUCCACCUUGACUGAUGGAAUGAAGAUGAUAGAUAAGCUUGAUUUAGUCUCUGCUGUUAGUUCCUGAUGAAACAGACAUUUUGGCUUAACAUAAAUUUCUUUCUGAGGGCUGUGUGAAACCUUAUUCCUACUGACUUGCCAAGAAGUCCACGGCAACGCACAGGAAAGGCAAAUCAACUUUGGACUUUUUAGAAUGCAACAAGUGAUCUUCAUUAACACGGCUGCUUUUCAGGCUGCAAUCUGCAGU